UACAGAGGGGGCAAGCGUUGUUCGGAAUUACUGGGCGUAAAGGGCUCGUAGGCGGCCAACUAAGUCAGACGUGAAAUCCCCAGGCUCAACUUGGGAACUGCGUCUGAUACUGGAUGGCUUGAAUUCGGGAGAGGGAUGCAGAAUUCCAGGUGUAGCGGUGAAAUGCGUAGAUAUCUGGAGGAAUACCGGUGGCGAAGGCGGCAUCCUGGACCGAGAUUGACACUGAUGAGCGAAAGCUAGGGGAGCAAACGGG
rnacentral:rRNA from 1 species